rnacentral:rRNA from 1 species
AUUACCCUGGCGGCUGCUUACCAUGCAUGUCGAACGGCAGCACGGGAGCAAUCCUGGUGGCGAGUGGCGAACGGGUGAGUAAUAUAUCGGAACGUGCCCAGUCGUGGGGGAUAACGCAGGCGAAAGCUGUGCUAAUACCGCAUACGAUCUACGGAUGAAAGCGGGGGAUCGCAAGACCUCGCGCGAUUUGGAGCGGCCGAUAUCAGAUUAGCUAGUUGGUGGGGUAAAGGCCCACCAAGGCGACGAUCUGUAGCUGGUCUGAGAGGACGACCAGCCACACUGGAACUGAGACACGGUCCAGACUCCUACGGGAGGCAGCAGUGGGGAAUUUUGGACAAUGGGCGCAAGCCUGAUCCAGCAAUGCCGCGUGCACGGAUGAAGGCCUUCGGGUUGUAAACUGCUUUUGUACGGAACGAAACGGUGAGCUCUAAUAAAGUUUGCUAAUGACGGUACCGUAAGAAUAAGCACCGGCUAACUACGUGCCAGCAGCCGCGGU